UCAUGCCCCAUUAAAGAUGUCAA
rnacentral:snRNA from 1 species